rnacentral:rRNA from 1 species
UGGGGAAUUUUGGACAAUGGACGCAAGUCUGAUCCAGCCAUGCCGCGUGCGGGAAGAAGGCCUUCGGGUUGUAAACCGCUUUUGUCAGGGAAGAAACGAGUUUCUCUAAUACAGAGACUUAAUGACGGUACCUGAAGAAUAAGCACCGGCUAACUACGUGCCAGCAGCCGCGGUAAUACGUAGGGUGCGAGCGUUAAUCGGAAUUACUGGGCGUAAAGCGUGCGCAGGCGGUUAUGUAAGACAGAUGUGAAAUCCCCGGGCUCAACCUGGGAACUGCAUUUGUGACUGUAUAGCUAGAGUACGGUAGAGGGGGAUGGAAUUCCGCGUGUAGCAGUGAAAUGCGUAGAUAUGCGGAGGAACACCGAUGGCGAAGGCAAUCCCCUGGACCUGUACUAACGCUCAUGCACGAAAGCGUGGGGAGCAAUCA